rnacentral:misc_RNA from 1 species
UUUCCGUAGGUGAACCUGCGGAAGGAUCAUUAUUGUAUAACCGAGGUGCGAGGGCUGUCGCUGACCCGAAAGGUCGUGCACGCCCGAGUGCCCUUACACACAUCCAUCUCACCCCUAUGUGCACCACCGCGUGGGUCCCCCUUUGGCUUGUUCGGAGGGGGGCUUACGUUUUCACACAAACUUUGUAUGCAGUGUAGAAUGUAUUUUUGUUUUUGCGAUCACGCAAUCAAUACAACUUUCAACAACGGAUCUCUUGGCUCUC